rnacentral:rRNA from 1 species
UAGGGAAUCUUCCGCAAUGGGCGAAAGCCUGACGGAGCAACGCCGCGUGAGUGAUGAAGGUCUUCGGAUCGUAAAACUCUGUUAUUAGGGAAGAACAAAUGUGUAAGUAACUAUGCACGUCUUGACGGUACCUAAUCAGAAAGCCACGGCUAACUACGUGCCAGCAGCCGCGGUAAUACGUAGGUGGCAAGCGUUAUCCGGAAUUAUUGUGCGUAAAGCGCGCGUAGGCGGUUUUUUAAGUCUGAUGUGAAAGCCCACGGCUCAACCGUGGAGGGUAAUUGGAAACUGGAAAACUUGAGUGCAGAAGAGGAAAGUGGAAUUCCAUGUGUAGCGGUGAAAUGCGCAGAGAUAUGGAGGAACACCAGUGGCGAAGGCGACUUUCUGGUCUGUAACUGACGCUGAUGUGCGAAAGCGUGGGAAUCAAACAGG